GUUUUAAUAAUUUAAAUAAAAUAUUGAUCUUGUAAAUCAAAUUUAAGAUAUAAUCUUUUAAAACU
rnacentral:tRNA from 1 species